rnacentral:rRNA from 1 species
UCNNNNNNNNNNNNNNNNNNNNGACGAAAAAUGAAUACCAAGUCUCAAGAGUGAACACGUAAUUCAUUACGAAGUUUAAUUCAUUGAGCAUCAAACUUUUAAAUUGAAGAGUUUGAUCAUGGCUCAGAUUGAACGCUGGCGGCAGGCCUAACACAUGCAAGUCGAACGGUAACAGGAAGCAGCUUGCUGCUUUGCUGACGAGUGGCGGACGGGUGAGUAAUGUCUGGGAAACUGCCUGAUGGAGGGGGAUAACUACUGGAAACGGUGGCUAAUACCGCAUAACGUCGCAAGACCAAAGAGGGGGACCUUCGGGCCUCUUGCCAUCAGAUGUGCCCAGAUGGGAUUAGCUUGUUGGUGAGGUAACGGCUCACCAAGGCGACGAUCCCUAGCUGGUCUGAGAGGAUGACCAGCCACACUGGAACUGAGACACGGUCCAGACUCCUACGGGAGGCAGCAGUGGGGAAUAUUGCACAAUGGGCGCAAGCCUGAUGCAGCCAUGCCGCGUGUAUGAAGAAGGCCUUCGGGUUGUAAAGUACUUUCAGCGGGGAGGAAGGUGUUGUGGUUAAUAACCGCAGCAAUUGACGUUACCCGCAGAAGAAGCACCGGCUAACUCCGUGCCAGCAGCCGCGGUAAUACGGAGGGUGCAAGCGUUAAUCGGAAUUACUGGGCGUAAAGCGCACGCAGGCGGUCUGUCAAGUCGGAUGUGAAAUCCCCGGGCUCAACCUGGGAACUGCAUUCGAAACUGGCAGGCUUGAGUCUUGUAGAGGGGGGUAGAAUUCCAGGNNNNNNNNNNNNNNNNNNNNGUAGCGGUGAAAUGCGUAGAGAUCUGGAGGAAUACCGGUGGCGAAGGCGGCCCCCUGGACAAAGACUGACGCUCAGGUGCGAAAGCGUGGGGAGCAAACAGGAUUAGAUACCCUGGUAGUCCACGCCGUAAACGAUGUCUACUUGGAGGUUGUGCCCUUGAGGCGUGGCUUCCGGAGCUAACGCGUUAAGUAGACCGCCUGGGGAGUACGGCCGCAAGGUUAAAACUCAAAUGAAUUGACGGGGGCCCGCACAAGCGGUGGAGCAUGUGGUUUAAUUCGAUGCAACGCGAAGAACCUUACCUGGUCUUGACAUCCACGGAAGUUUUCAGAGAUGAGAAUGUGCCUUCGGGAACCGUGAGACAGGUGCUGCAUGGCUGUCGUCAGCUCGUGUUGUGAAAUGUUGGGUUAAGUCCCGCAACGAGCGCAACCCUUAUCCUUUGUUGCCAGCGGUCCGGCCGGGAACUCAAAGGAGACUGCCAGUGAUAAACUGGAGGAAGGUGGGGAUGACGUCAAGUCAUCAUGGCCCUUACGACCAGGGCUACACACGUGCUACAAUGGCGCAUACAAAGAGAAGCGACCUCGCGAGAGCAAGCGGACCUCAUAAAGUGCGUCGUAGUCCGGAUUGGAGUCUGCAACUCGACUCCAUGAAGUCGGAAUCGCUAGUAAUCGUGGAUCAGAAUGCCACGGUGAAUACGUUCCCGGGCCUUGUACACACCGCCCGUCACACCAUGGGAGUGGGUUGCAAAAGAAGUAGGUAGCUUAACCUUCGGGAGGGCGCUUACCACUUUGUGAUUCAUGACUGGGGUGAAGUCGUAACAAGGUAACCGUAGGGGAACCUGCGGUUGGAUCACCUCCUUACCUUAAAGAAGCGUACUUUGCAGUGCUCACACAGAUUGUCUGAUGAAAA